GGGCUGAUAGCUCAGCCAGGCAGAGCAUCUGGCUCUUAACCAGACGGCCGAGGGUUCAAAUCCCUCUCAGCCCG
rnacentral:tRNA from 2 species